CCUACGGGGAGCAGCAGUGAGGAAUAUUGGUCAAUGGGCGGGAGCCUGAACCAGCCAAGCCGCGUGAAGGAAGAAGGCGCCAAGCGUCGUAAACUUCUUUUGUCGGGGAACAAAGGGCGCCACGUGUGGCGUUGUGAGUGUACCCGAAGAAAAAGCAUCGGCUAACUCCGUGCCAGCAGCCGCGGUAAUAAGGAGGAUGCGAGCGUUAUCCGGAUUUAUUGGGUUUAAAGGGUGCGGAGGCGGUCCGGAAAGUCAGCGGGAAAAGCCCGGGGCUCAACCCCGGGGAGCCGUUGAAAGUGGCGGACUAGAGACGGCGAGAAGUACGCGGAAUGCGCGGUGUAGCGGUGAAAUGCAUAGAUAUCGCGCAGAACUCCGAUUGCGAAGGCAGCGUACCGGCGCCGGACUGACGCUGAGGCACGAAAGCGUGGGUAUCGAACAGGAUUAGAUACCCUGGUAGUC
rnacentral:rRNA from 1 species